UACAGAGGGGGCGAGCGUUGUUCGGAAUUACUGGGCGUAAAGGGCGCGUAGGCGGCCUCUUAAGUCGAACGUGAAAUCCCCGGGCUCAACCCGGGAAGUGCACUUGAAACUGCAUAGCUUGAGUACGGUAGAGGUGAGUGGAAUUCCUGGUGUAGUGGUGAAAUACGUAGAUAUCAGGAGGAACAUCGGUGGCGAAGGCGGCUCACUGGACCAGUACUGACACUGAGGAGCGAAAGCAUGGGGAUCAAACAGG
rnacentral:rRNA from 1 species